GGGGUCCUUCCUGGCUCGGCGGCGCUCCGGGCCUGAGGGGAGAAAGCCGCUGCGGAGGGCGCUGGGGGCCGGCGGCGGCGGCGGCGGCGGCGGCGCAAGAGGCGGCAACGGGACGGCGGCGCGAGGUUGGCGCGCCCCGGGAUCCGGCCUCUGCACUUGAGGGGAGAUGAGCUCGGCUGACAAGGCCCGGGUGGGGCUCGCGGCCGACGGGCCUGCGCCGCCCGAGGAGGAGGAGGGCGAGGGGGGCGGCGAGGCGGGCGGGAAGGAGCCGGCUGCAGACGCGGCCCCCGGGCCCAGUGCCGCGUUCCGCUUCCUGGUGACUCGGCGGGAGCCGGCCGUGAAGCUGCAGUACGCGGUGAGCGGCUUAGAGCCGCUGGCCUGGUCCGAGGACCACCGCGUGUCCGUGUCCACGGCCCGCAGCAUCGCCGUGCUGGAGCUCAUCUGCGACGUGCACAACCCGGGCCAGGACCUGGUUAUCCACCGCACCUCGGUGCCCGCUCCUCUCAACAGCUGCCUCCUCAAAGUUGGCUCUAAAGCAGAAGUUGCCGAGUGUAAGGAGAAGUUUGCCACCUCGAAAGACCCCACAGUCAGUCAGACUUUCAUGUUGGAUAGGGUGUUCAACCCUGAGGGGAAAGCUUUGCCGCCGAUGAGGGGAUUCAAAUAUACUAGCUGGUCCCCCAUGGGUUGUGAUGCAAAUGGCAGGUGCCUCUUGGCGGCACUGACCAUGGACAAUCGCCUGACCAUCCAGGCUAACCUCAACAGACUCCAGUGGGUCCAGCUGGUCGAUCUGACAGAGAUUUAUGGAGAACGUCUUUACGAGACCAGUUACAGACUCUCUAAACAUGAGGCUCCGGAAGGGAAUCUCGGGGACUUCGCGGAGUUUCAGAGGAGACACAGCAUGCAGACUCCGGUCAGGAUGGAGUGGUCGGGCAUCUGCACCACUCAGCAGGUCAAGCAUAACAACGAGUGCCGGGACGUAGGCAGCGUGCUCCUGGCGGCCCUCUUCGAGAACGGCGACAUUGCCGUGUGGCAGUUUCAGUUGCCCUUUGUAGGGAAGGAGUCCAUCUCUUCGUGCAACACGAUCGAGUCCGGAAUCAACUCUCCUAGUGUUUUGUUUUGGUGGGAAUAUGAGCACAAUAAUCGGAAAAUGAGCGGCCUUAUCGUGGGGAGUGCUUUUGGACCUGUAAAAAUCCUGCCCGUCAAUCUCAAAGCAGUUAAAGGCUAUUUCACUCUAAGGCAGCCUGUUGUCUUGUGGAAAGAGAUGGACCAGUUGCCAGUGCACAGCAUUAAAUGUGUCCCGCUCUAUCACCCUUACCAGAAGUGUAGUUGUAGCUUGGUGGUGGCAGCAAGAGGAUCCUAUGUGUUUUGGUGUCUUCUUCUGAUCUCCAAAGCAGGCCUCAACGUUCACAAUUCCCACGUCACAGGCCUUCACUCGCUGCCGAUCGUCUCCAUGACUGCGGACAAGCAGAACGGGACGGUGUAUACUUGUUCCAGUGACGGGAAGGUGAGGCAGCUGAUUCCCAUUUUCACAGAUGUGGCGCUGAAGUUUGAACACCAGCUAAUUAAACUCUCGGAUGUGUUUGGCUCCGUGAGGACGCACGGGAUAGCGGUGAGCCCCUGCGGCGCGUACCUGGCCGUCAUUACGACCGAGGGCAUGGUCAACGGCCUCCACCCCGUUAACAAAAACUACCAGGUCCAGUUCGUUACUCUCAAAACCUUUGAGGAGGCAGCUGCUCAGCUCCUGGAGUCUUCCGUUCAGAAUCUCUUCAAGCAGGUUGAUUUAAUAGAUCUGGUUCGCUGGAAGAUUUUAAAAGAUAAACACAUCCCGCAGUUUUUACAAGAAGCUUUGGAAAAAAAGAUCGAAAGCAGUGGGGCCACGUAUUUUUGGCGUUUCAAACUGUUCCUCUUGAGGAUUUUGUAUCAGUCGAUGCAGAAAACCCCUUCAGAAGCAUUAUGGAAACCGUCCCACGAGGACUCCAAAAUCUUACUCGUUGACUCCCCUGGGAUGGGCAAUGCCGAGGAGGAACAAGAGGAAGGCACUUCCAGACAGGCCAGUAGGCAGGGCCUUCAGGAGAGGAGCAGAGAGGGCGAUCCCGAGGACCCCAUCGACGACUCACUGACCCCAUCUGGAGACGCCGGGGGCCGGGAGCCGAUGGAAGAGAAGCUCCUGGAGAUCCAAGGGAAGAUCGAAGGCGUGGAAAUGCACUUGACCAGGGAGCACAUGAAGCGGGUCUUAGGAGAAGUGUACCUGCACACCUGGAUCACAGAGAACACGAGCAUCCCCACCAGGGGCCUCUGCAACUUUCUGAUGUCUGACGAGGAGUACGAUGACCGCACGGCACGGGUGCUGAUUGGACACAUCUCAAAGAAGAUGAACAAACAGACCUUCCCUGAGCACUGUAGUUUGUGUAAAGAGAUCUUGCCAUUCACAGAUCGCAAACAGGCAGUCUGCUCCAAUGGCCACAUCUGGCUCCGGUGCUUCUUAACCUACCAGUCCUGCCAGAGUCUGAUCUACAGAAGGUGUUUGCUCCAUGACAGCAUCGCCCGCCACCCAGCUCCAGAAGAUCCUGACUGGAUUAAGAGGUUACUGCAAAGCCCUUGCCCUUUCUGCGAUUCUCCCGUCUUCUGAACGUCAGCGGUGGGAAGAUGGGAAGGGCACAUACUCUGUUACAGAAAAUGCCCUCUGGCCUGAAGACGUAGGACGCGCUGGCUGAUCCCGGCCUUCGGGUGGCGAGGCUCUCUCCAGGAGUGUAGAUAGGGCCCUGGGAACUCAUUUCUGAAGCGCGGUCUCUGUCUCCGGGGACUAAGGGAUUUCUUUGAAACAACUGAAUGCAGAGAUUUUAAGUCAUUCUGAGAUGAACAUUAGCCCCCCGCCUCCUCACCCAGUGAGGAACACUUAUUUUCCAAGUGUUUUGACUGAAGCAGUUUGAACCACAAGAAUGCCCUAUCACCGCUGGGAACAGAACGAUCUCUUCUAGAGAGUUGGGGUAAGGGCCUCGCUGGACCAAGUUGGGCUUAACGCUUGCCUUGGUGCCGAGCCCGCUGCUCCAGAGAGCUUAAGCGCGCGGUGCACGGUACGCGGUAUUCCGGCACACGUUAAAAGUGUCGGAAACAGCACAGGGUCCUGACGCUUUGUUCUGAACAAACAGCCACAGAUCUGUAUCCCGAGGAUUCCUGUUUCUCAUGCAUAUGGAAACCAUUCUCCUAGAACUGGAUUUUUAAGAGGUUGAAGCCAAGACUAAAGUUGGCUUUAAUGUGUCAAAAGAUCAGGUGAUUCUCCUAAGUUAAUAAUUGUGACUUGUUUUUAGUGAGCUCCCAUGUUAGCAGGUUUCCUGUCCUUUGUCCUUAAUGUGUAAAGGACAUCUGGUAUUCCCGUUCACCCGUGACACCUCCCUGCUUCAGACUGUCACAGCCUACGUGAGAUUUUUGUACAUAGAAGAAAAAGAAUAUUUUCUCCUUAAAACUUGGAGUGUUUUUAAUGUUGACAUGUCCAGACAUUUCAUUUAUAUCCAGUAUGAGAACGUGCAGUCCAUCUAAAGACUUCCAGGAAACUUCCAGAAAGCAGUGGGCAGCCCAGACGUGCUCUGGUGCCACAGGUGUGUGCGGCUCAGUUGACGGGAGCCUGGGACUUUCUCCUCAGUAUAAAGGUCCUUGGUAUUUGUAAUACUGGUAUUUUCCUCUGGGCUGUUAAGAGGAACUGUUAGACAUCAAUUGGCCUUAAAGUCCAAAACUAAAGAUGGACAUUCAGGAAUGACAGUGUUGCCAGAUUACAAAGUAAGUGUCCUAGGGAUUGGUGCUAUUCAACAGGACUGCGAUGCCCACAGCUCGAGAUGGUGCGUAUUUCUGGGAAGUUGGAUAGGAAAUACAAAAUGUGAAAUUGCCACUUCUGUCCCAUGCUGUCUGGCCUUUAUUCUGACAUUUAUUCCUGCCUUUCUUGUGAUCGCUCAGAGAAAGACAUCUUGGCCUCGCUUCAGAAACACUUGCUGUUUGGACGAGAUGCCCCCGGACGCCCCCCACACCACUGCAUUCUUGCCCCUCCGCUCGCGUGUUGAGAGCCAAGAGCCCUUCAGAGGCGCUUCCGGUCUGCUUUGAAAUGUCUUUGGCUUCCUGUUCUAAUCUUGCUUUGUCUCCUGUGUUCAAAUCUGUAUUUUCUGGAGUCUUCUGCUUAUCCUUCUCCUCUUGGUGACUUCAAGAAUAGUGUUGAUCCAGAUGCCAGUGUCUGGCACGUUAAGUUGGUUUUCAGGAAAGAAUCGGGCGGCAUUAAGGUCAUGGGUGGGUGACGCAGCUCAGAAGGCGGUGUGGCCGUGGUCGUUUGUGCCUGUAGCUGUUUGACAUGACAGCAAAUAGGAGGGUAAAAAUUGAGAUCAUGUCAAGGAAUUCUUGCAGUUUUCAUAAUCAUGGGAUGCUUAGUCUCGCAUAGUUUUGGUUCCAACCAGGGUCAGUGUUCAAUUUGUUCCGAUUGGGGACUUCUGUGCUGCUGCCAUUUAAAACUUACGUUAAGUUUUCAUUUAAAACAGUUGUACAUUUGGGGGGAAUUUAACUCUUGGGAGUUAACUAGAAGGGUCUCCCAAAUUAUUUUGUAUGUCUAUGUGGGAAUAAACAUGGCAACUGUUGGGCUAGAACCUGGCUUGUCUCUGCGCGGGACUAGGCCUGGGGGCAUUCUUCAGAUUCUGAAACCCACCCGACCCCUGCUCGGCCCGCGUUUCUGCGUGGAGCUGGGCGGUCUCCCCCUCUUCCAGCCCCACCCCCUCAGCCACGGAGGCUGGCGUGAGCUCGUGGCAGCAUCACAAACGCAGUCCGCUUCCGACUUCACAAAGAGCCAGAGCACCUGAUGACAGAGCGCCGGUCAGUGGGACCUUGAGAACGCAGAGGGUGACCCCUGGAAUCUUCCGGCUCAUUGUCUCUCGCGGCUUAAACUUGUCAUGCCCUCCGUGCUUCCUCACAUCUGCCUGAUCUGGCUGGGCGGGAGCUAAAAAGAAGGCAAGAUGAUGCCCGCCUCCCGACGCAGUACAGGCGGAGCCCGUCCAGGUGAGCCGCCGUAACUGGGCCGGGGAGGUUCAUUUAAAGUUCGGCACUCUAAAUCUUGUCCGUUUCCAUGGUAAAAAUCUGCUUCCCUCGCCAUCACGACAUCCUGUUACUCUCGCAGAAAGAUCCCAUAAGGUGGUCAGGCUGGACCCCGGAAGAGGUGGCACAAUGGCUACGAGACGCUUUCGUGCUUUAUCGGUUUUACGUUUGGCGACCAGACUGCUGGGGUGUCGCGCGCUUUGGUCUGGGUGCUAAUGCAAAACUAAAAGCAAAAAUGGGUUAUUAUGGCUUCUUCAGGACUUUGACUCAGAUUUGUACUUUACGAAAGGAACAUGAAUAUCAAACCUGUUUAUACAGAAACAAGACCGCAUAGAAAAAUUAGUGUGUUGUGUAUAGUGAUACAUAGUUUAUGUUUACCCAAUGCCUGUGCUAAUCUUCGUGCUCAGCUUUGAAUUAUAUGUAUGUUCACAUAGGACUUUUUUUUUUUUUUUUUUUUAAUGAAAAGAACAGGCAUCUAAAAAUCUUAAGGUUAGAGAGAGAGAGUUUCUCAGUGCUUACCAUCUGGUUGGGUGGUGUGGUUUCGACUUUUGGCAUUUAAAGGAAACUUUAAGAACAGGAACACCUCUGGCCUGGAAUACCCUGCAUCCAGAAAAAUUGGUUGCUUCUCUGCACUGUAUAUAUGUACAUAGUGUUCAUGAUUAGAUUGUAAGCUCCUCAAGGGCAGGGACUGUCUGCUUCAUCUUGGUAGUUCCUGCAGCACCUAAUGUCAAGUGCCUUGCACGGAGUAGGUGCUCCUGAUGCGUAGAAUGAGUCACUUCCUGCCACCUUCAAGACGGAGCAUGGUUCCCUUUUUCCAGCGCGUUCAAAACUGCAAAGACUGCCGACCCGAAGAGGGCCAGAGUCCCGCUUGGGUUCGAACUGGGCUUCCUGGGUUGAACCAGGCCACGCCACAUCAUCAGCACUCGUUCGCUGCCUUUUCCUGAAGAUCAUAUCCCAGUGUCCUGAGCUUUUAUUUAAUACUAGGGCAAAGGUUGCUGGGACAAGUUUGAAGUGGAGAAGAGCGGAGAAAAAACAAAGAGGUUGUGGAGGGUGUGUUGUCGGCAUACAGCCCUGCGGGGCAGUCUUUCUUUAGUCACUGCUGAAGAAGGAAAACCUAACAGGUACUCGUUUCCUUUACCAGUCAGCUGGUUGGCCGGUUUUCCAGUUAAUGAAAGAUGGUUGGUUUUUAGCUUUUUCCCACUUUGGACGCCCCUCAGUUGCUCGUAUGCUUCUAGUAAAGUUGCUGUGAAUAUCCGGUGCUGUACAUAACGGCAGUUUUGUAAAUAUGGAACGACCUCGAACAUGUGGUGUUUUGUAUGCAGAGCCGCAGUAUUAUCUUGGCCACUUUUUUAUUCAAAAUAAAUAAAUAACAGAAUUGUUUGUA